GCGGACGUAGUGCACGGCGCACCGCUGCAUUUCAUUAGGAAAGCGUAAACUUGAAGCAGUUGUAGGGGUUCGACUCCCUGCGUCCGCA